AUAACCCAACUGCACUUACAAUCAUCUAUACUAACAUCAAUGCUUGCUUGAGCAUUGCAAGUGGACCAAUUAUUACCUGAUUUGGUUAAUCACCGUGUUGGAGUAAUUGAUCGUCGACUACUAAUAUUAUUGGAAGAGGUCAAACAGGGCAAACAAACAAUAACUUUGCUUCUGCAACAAUUCUCAACAGCAGCGUGGCAUUGUAGAAACAAGUUUUGACGAUUUUGGGUAACUGUUUUAUCAAUGGAACAGUUAAAAAAAAUUGAAACAGAUUGUCUUGAUAAUUAAAUGCAAAGAAAGCUUGUAAGACACGUUAUUUGAGUCAUUGUGGUGGAACAACUGUUUCUGAAUCGACAAGAAAUAUAGUAAAGCAAUUGAUGAAAAAUAGAAUUUCAGUUGCUUGUAAUAGGAAAGGAAAAAGGGGAAAAUAUGCUUGUAGCAAUAGCAAGCUUUACCAAAUUACAAAUAGUGCACUUAUUUAUGUGUUAAUCCAGGAAUCGGCAAUCUUCGGCUCGUGAGUCGCAUGCAGUUUUUUUACCCAAACUGUGUGGCUCUUCAACCUGUUCGAGUUUUAUAUUUAAAUGAUAUUGAAUACCAUUGAAUAAUAAUUUGCGCAUUCAAUAUCUUUACGGCUCUUUAGAUAGAUUUUUUAAAAUUAUUUUAAGAAAAAUGACUCUCAACUUGAAACAGGUUGCCGACCCCUGUAUUAAACCAUCAUUAUUUAUUCUUACUGUAGAUACACUCUUACCGUUAUUAAUACUUUUAAUAUAAAUUUAAAUUUUUAUUUCUUUUUUAGAUUACAUGAUUAGAAGUUGUUUAUAAAGCUAAACUAAAUGAAU